GCCAGUGUGGUAUAGUGGUUUGAGCAUUGGACUAGGACUCUGGAGACCAGGGUUCAAUUCUCAGCUUGCCA